UGUUGCCCAGGCUGGAGCACAGUGGUUUGAUCUUGGCUCACUGCAGUCUCAACCUCUCAGGCUCAAGCUAUCCUUCUGCCUCAGACUCUGGGGUAGCUGGGACAACAGCCUCAGCCAAGAUGUCUCACCCUACUCUCUAUGAUGCAACAAGAAGCCCCUGGGGAAUGUUUCAGUCCCAGUCUGUACUAUUGUCAUGUGCUCAUCACAGUCUGGUGGAAUUUAAAUGACCUUUUAUCAAGAUGGAUAAACGCAAGUUUCCCAGUGCUGGAAUACAGAAAAUGGAUGGACAAGUAAGUCCCACUCAGCACCCAUAGCCCAGACAUGGGGACCUCAACACACCUGGGCCCCAGACAUCACCUUUCAUUGUGAGUAGCUCAGAGAUGACACUUCGUUGUUAAGUGCCCACUGGCAAUAGUUUCUAUAACAGCAAGUGAAGGAAUAAAUAGUCACCAAAACAUUUUCUGUUCCCAAUUCCAACAUUAAUUGGAUGAGAUAAUUAUUUUAUGAAAAUUUUCAUAUAGCACAGUCCUGGCCAUAUCUUUAAGUGAACAGAAAAAUUCUAUUAAAAAGUCAACCUUCUAUCUCACUCUCUUGCCCAGACUGGAGUGCAGCGGUGCAGUGGUGCAGUUAUGGCUCACUGCAGCCACAACUUACUGGGCUCAAGCAGUCCUCCCACCUCAGCCUCUGAAAGUGCUGGAAUUAUAAGCAGACAGCCACCAUGCCUGAAAACUUGACAAUUUACAUCAAGUGUAAUAAGAAUGCUCAUGCCCUGUGACUCACAGUAAUCUCACUUCUGGAAAU
rnacentral:lncRNA from 10 species